CACCAGCCACACGUAUGUCUGCUGCUGACAAAUGUGCGCACGCCUUGGAGGGCGGGGCCAGGCAGGACAGAGCCGCCCAUGACAGGGGGACACCUCCUGUUCUAGAAUUCUUGGACUGAUUAUCCAUCUUGACAAAGGAGGCCUUGAAUCAAAUUUAAUCUGGUUUAGUGCACUUAUCAAAGAGACAUCGGAGAGAUCCCUUGUGCCUUCUGCCAUGUGAGUUAUAGUGAGAAGACAGCCAUCUACUAGGAAUCAGACCGUCAUCAGACACCAAAUCUGCCAGCACCUUGAUCUUAGAUUUCCCAGACUCCAGAACUGUUAGAAAUAAAUUUCUGUUGUUUAUAAGCC
rnacentral:lncRNA from 1 species